rnacentral:lncRNA from 1 species
AUGAUACAUGAUGUGCAUCUGCUCCUUUUUUUUAAAAUUAUUUUUUUUUUUUAUUUUAUUUUUGAGAGAGAGAGACAGAGCGAAAGCUGGGGAGGGGCAGAGAGAGGGGAAGACACAAUCCGAAGCAGGCUCCAGGCUCCCAGCUGUCAGCACAGAGCCCGACGUGGGGCUCGAACCCGUGACUCACGAGAUCGUGACCUGAGCCGAAGUCGGACGCUUAACCGACUGAGCUACCAGGCGCCCCAGCAUCUGCUCAUUCUUUUUUCAGUGGCCAGCUUGGAUGUUCCCAGGAGUUGAUCGCAUUGUCUCGUUAUGCAAUGGUCAUGUUGCCUCCUCCUUUCUAAUAACAUUCUAUUUCUGGUGUCUGCCUUAUUCAGCCAGGCAGAACUUCCAGAAUAAUACCAGGUAAACCGGCGAGGGGGGGUAUUUCUUCAUCCCACUCUCUGUGGCCCCUCCAUCCUGUCCUCGUGGUAAUCUGUGGAAGUGCUCCCAAGGGCUGUGCUCCCAGCCCCUCGGAUGGAGUAGUGACUGCUUCCCCCACACCCUGCAUUGGGGCCUGCCGUGAGGCAGACCGCAUUUUCCUGUAGAAAAUGUCUAUUCAGAAUCCAUGAGUGGACCUGAAUGCACUGGAUGGAUAGCACCUGGGGGGACAAUUGUACGGGCACAGGGAUUUGACCUGAGGCUAAUCUGUUAUCACCAUCAGUUGCCAUUUAGUUCAAAGUGACUGUCUUCUGGGAAUUCCGAAAGGCUUUGGAAGCAUGGUAUGGAUUGCUUGGGUUUUGGGGGUUUUUUUGAAGCUUUUAUUUAUUUAUUUCGAGGAAGAGAGAGACAGAGACAGAGAGAAUCCCAAGCAGACUCUGCACUGUCAAUGCAGCCUAACACAGGGCUCGAUCUCACAAACCAUGAAAUCGUGACCUGAGCUAAAAUCAAGAGUCAGAUGCUCAACAGACGGAGCCACCCAGGCGCCCCAAAUCAAGGCACACCGGAUCGAUCCCUGUCCAGGGAAAAACUUAACGUUUCUUCAUAUUUAUUCCUGUAGCCAGUAGCAGCCUUAAACCACUUAUUUGAUAAGACCUGUACUCCAAGUGAAGGAUCGAUCGUGUUUAAAGGAGACCUUUGUGUUGCUAUGAAGACAAUAUAUGCACAAAAUAAAUGAAAGCUUAAAAAACA